CUAAAACCCAGCAGGUUAGGAAUUCAUUCUUUUGAGUUUUUAUCAUAAAAUAAUCCCUGUAAUCUGAGCCAAUUAAUUUUUCCUAGCCUACAGUCACAGAUGAACUGUGCAACACCAACACAAACAACAUUUAGGUGAUAGUUUACUUAUUACAGUAAUAGCUAACACAUAUUAGACCACCUGUAUUCAAAGCACUCCUGUGGCUUUGGGUUGUUUUGUUUUGUUUUGUUUUUGCAUCAUGCACUUACUUGGUUUACUCAUUAUUCAAAGGAAAGAAAAAUGGGUAAUUGGUGCAGAGCAUUCUGCAGCUAAGUAGAAGCAGGGCUUGAACUCAGGAUGUUGGGCUUUUGAGCAUAUAAACUACCACAGAAUCGUCUCAUAAGAGUCUGUCUGGUCAAGACAGUUCUUUCCGCAUGCAGAUACGGAACCCAGUGUCAGAACAGCAAGAGGAUUCAGACACUGAAUCUAGCAAGUCGGCAGCCAGGAGGUAAAUGGCAGAUUAGAUGCAAGGUGGAUUUGUACCAACCCAUCAGGGGAGAGUACUCACAUGAACUCUAGGUUGAGUUGGGUGCUGCUGGAUAGUUCUGGGAACAUCGGAGGGGCAGGUUGCCGUGCAAAGAUACGGCAAUAACAAAAAAGCAAGUUUGCCAUAGUUAUUCCUUUAGGGUUCUCUUUGGAUACUGGGCAAUUAGGUUAACAAAUGACUGGGGAGUGAAAGAGAAA